rnacentral:misc_RNA from 1 species
CAACCCUCAAAAAUCUUGUAUUUUUGGUGUUGGAGGAAUACCUGUAACAGGGUACCCUCUGAAAUUUAGUGGCGGGCUCGCUAGAAUUUUGAGCGUAGUAAUUAUACCUCGUUUUUAAAGACUAGUGGGACUUCUUGCCGUAAAACCCCCCAACUUUCUGAA